rnacentral:misc_RNA from 1 species
GGAACACUUGUGUAGGACCAAGUAUAUCUAAAAAUGGAAUCUUUCAAUCAGUUUCAGCAGCAAUGUGGCGAUCCCGGUCACCGGAUGAUACUGCUUCCACUGUCACUAAUGGUGAAAGUGGUAGGGUUGAAACACCAACUUCUGCUAAAGAAACUGAAUCACCUUUGCCAGUUCAAGAUAAGCCACCAGAACCAAUGACAAUGCCUAAGUUAGAAGAGAAAGAGGAGGAAAAACCGAAAAAGCCCAAAAAGCCGGCUGAAAUGAAGAGGGUGUCUAGUGCUGGACUUAGGACUGAUUCUGUGUUACAGAAGAA